AACCUGGUUGAUCCUGCCAGUAGUCAUAUGCUUGUCUCAAAGAUUAAGCCAUGCAUGUCUAAGUAUAAGUUUUUUACUGCGAAACUGUGAAUGGCUCAUUAUAAUAGUUAUUAUUUCCUAGCCGGUCAGUUAUUCCUUGGAUACCCAUGGUAAUUCUAGAGCUAAUACAUGCUUACAGACCCAACUUCACGGAAGGGUUGCGCUUAUUAGAUACGAACCAACCCCGCAAGGGAUUCAGUUGAUUCAUAGUAUUCUGGCGAAUCGACUUUCAGUCGAUGAGGCUAUCAAGUUUCUGACCUAUCAGCUUCCGACGGUAGGGUAUUGGCCUACCGUGGCUUUGACGGGUAACGGAGAAUUAGGGUUCGAUUCCGGAGAGGGAGCCUGAGAAACGGCUACCACAUCUAAGGAAGGCAGCAGGCGCGUAAAUUACCCAAUCCUGACACAGGGAGGUAGUGACAAGAAAUAUCAAUAUAAGACUUUUGUGUCUUGUAAUUGGGAUGAGCGGAACUUAAAUCGCUUCUCGAGUAUCAAUUGGAGGGCAAGUCUGGUGCCAGCAGCCGCGGUAAUUCCAGCUCCAAUAGC
rnacentral:rRNA from 1 species